rnacentral:rRNA from 1 species
AUUGAACGCUGGCGGCAGGCCUAACACAUGCAAGUCGAGCGAGAGGCGGACGGGUGAGUAAUGUAUGGGGACUGCCCGAUAGAGGGGGAGAACUACUGGAAACGGUAGCUAAUACCGCAUACUAACGGAUAACCCAUAUGGGAUUAGCUAGUAGGUGAGGUAAUGGCUCACCUAGGCGACGAUCCCUAGCUGGUCUGAGAGGAUGAUCAGCCACACGGGGACUGAGACACGGCCCAGACUCCUACGGAGGCAGCAGUGGGGAAUAUUGCACAAUGGGCGCAAGCCGGAUGCAGCCAUGCCGCGUGUAUGAAGAAGGCCCUAGGGUUGUAAAGUACUUUCAGUCGGGAGGCGUUACCGACAGAAGAAGCACCGGCUAACUCCGUGCCAGCAGCCGCGGUAAUAC